CCUAAGGUAGCGAAAUUCCUUGUCGGGUAAGUUCCGACCCGCACGAAAGGCGUAACGAUUUGGGCACUGUCUCAACAACAGACUCGGUGAAAUUGUAAUACCGGUGAAGAUGCCGGUUACCUGCGACAGGACGGAAAGACCCCAUGGAGCUUUACUGUAGCUUGACAUUGAGUCUCGGUGCUACAUGUACAGGAUAGGUGGGAGACUAUGAAGCAUGGACGUCAGUCUGUGUGGAGUCAUCCUUGGGAUACCACCCUUGUAGUACUGGGAUUCUAACCAGAGGCCAUGAAUCUGGUCUUGGGACACUGUCAGGUGGACAGUUUGACUGGGGCGGUCGCCUCCCAAAAAGUAACGGAGGCGCUCAAAGGUUCUCUCAGUACGGUCGGAAAUCGUACGAAGAGUGUAAAGGCAAAAGAGAGCUUGAUUGCAAGACAUACAGGUCGAGCAAGGACGAAAGUCGGACUUAGUGAUCCGGUGGUUCCGCAUGGAAGGGCCAUCGCUCAACGGAUAAAAGCUACCCUGGGGAUAACAGGCUGAUCUCCCCCAAGCGUCCACAGCGACGGGGAGGUUUGGCACCUCGAUGUCGGCUCGUCACAUCCUGGGGCUGUAUUCGGUCCCAAGGGUUCGGCUGUUCGCCGAUUAAAGUGGCACGCGAGCUGGGUUCAGAACGUCGUGAGACAGUUCGGUCCCUAUCUGUUGCGGGCGCAGGAGAUUUGAAGGGAGCUGUCCUUAGUACGAGAGGACCGGGAUGGACAGACCUCUGGUGCACCAGUUGUCGUGCCAACGGCACAGCUGGGUAGCUACGUCUGGACGAGAUAAACGCUGAAAGCAUCUAAGUGUGAAACUCCCCCUAAGAUAAGAUCUCCCAUCCAUUAGGAGUAAGGGACGACAAAGACUAUGUCGUUGAUAGGUCGGAAGUGUAAGUGCAGUAAUGCAUUGAGCUGACCGAUACUAAUAACCCGAGGGCUUGACCU
rnacentral:rRNA from 1 species